rnacentral:rRNA from 1 species
CAGGCUUAACACAUGCAAGUCGAGGGGCAGCAUUUUAGUUUGCUUGCAAACUGAAGAUGGCGACCGGCGCACGGGUGAGUAACACGUAUCCAACCUGCCGAUAACUCCGGAAUAGCCUUUCGAAAGAAAGAUUAAUACCGGAUAGCAUACGAAUAUCGCAUGAUAUUUUUAUUAAAGAAUUUCGGUUAUCGAUGGGGAUGCGUUCCAUUAGUUUGUUGGCGGGGUAACGGCCCACCAAGACUACGAUGGAUAGGGGUUCUGAGAGGAAGGUCCCCCACAUUGGAACUGAGACACGGUCCAAACUCCUACGGGAGGCAGCAGUGAGGAAUAUUGGUCAAUGGGCGAGAGCCUGAACCAGCCAAGUAGCGUGAAGGAUGAAGGCUCUAUGGGUCGUAAACUUCUUUUAUAUGGGAAUAAAGUUUUCCACGUGUGGAAUUUUGUAUGUACCAUAUGAAUAAGGAUCGGCUAACUCCGUGCCAGCAGCCGCGGUAAUACGGAGGAUCCGAGCGUUAUCCGGAUUUAUUGGGUUUAAAGGGAGCGUAGGUGGAUUGUUAAGUCAGUUGUGAAAGUUUGCGGCUCAACCGUAAAAUUGCAGUUGAAACUGGCAGUCUUGAGUACAGUAGAGGUGGGCGGAAUUCGUGGUGUAGCGGUGAAAUGCUUAGAUAUCACGAAGAACUCCGAUUGCGAAGGCAGCUCACUAGACUGUCACUGACACUGAUGCUCGAAAGUGUGGGUAUCAAACAGGAUUAGAUACCCUGGUAGUCCACACAGUAAACGAUGAAUACUCGCUGUUUGCGAUAUACAGUAAGCGGCCAAGCGAAAGCAUUAAGUAUUCCACCUGGGGAGUACGCCGGCAACGGUGAAACUCAAAGGAAUUGACGGGGGCCCGCACAAGCGGAGGAACAUGUGGUUUAAUUCGAUGAUGCGCGAGGAACCUUACCCGGGCUUAAAUUGCAACAGAAUAUAUUGGAAACAGUAUAGCCGUAAGGCUGUUGUGAAGGUGCUGCAUGGUUGUCGUCAGCUCGUGCCGUGAGGUGUCGGCUUAAGUGCCAUAACGAGCGCAACCCUUAUCUUUAGUUACUAACAGGUUAUGCUGAGGACUCUAGAGAGACUGCCGUCGUAAGAUGUGAGGAAGGUGGGGAUGACGUCAAAUCAGCACGGCCCUUACGUCCGGGGCUACACACGUGUUACAAUGGGGGGUACAGAAGGCGGCUACCUGGUGACAGGAUGCUAAUCCCAAAAACCUCUCUCAGUUCGGAUCGAAGUCUGCAACCCGACUUCGUGAAGCUGGAUUCGCUAGUAAUCGCGCAUCAGCCAUGGCGCGGUGAAUACGUUCCCGGGCCUUGUACACACCGCCCGUCAAGCCAUGAAAGCCGGGGGUACCUGAAGUACGUAACCGCAAGGAGCGUCCUAGGGUAAAACUGGUAAUUGGGGCUAAGUCG